GCAAGUCGAGCGGUUGAGAGAAGCUGGCUUCUCUUGAGAGCGGCGGACGGGUGAGUAAUGGUUAGGAAUCUGCCUAGUGGUGGGGGAUAACGUUUGGAAACGGACGCUAAUACCGCAUACGUCCUACGGGUGAAAGCGGGGGACCUUCGGGCCUCGCGCCAUUAGAUGAGCCUAGGUCGGAUUAGCUAGUUGGUGAGGUAAUGGCUCACCAAGGCUACGAUCCGUAACUGGUCUGAGAGGAUGAUC
rnacentral:rRNA from 1 species